UACAGUGGUUAUAAGAGAACCUCUGACAGAUCCAGUAGUGUAUUUUCUACAAUGACGGUUUUCUAGAAUUACAUUCCCAGAGGACUGGGGACCUCCAGGACACCGUUUUCCAGAUGAUACAGCUGCUGUAGCCACGAGUGGAGGGAAUGAAAAGCUACGUCGGCAGCACUGAUUCAGUCAGAGGGUGCUGAGGCUUGGGUAAAGCCAUUUGCUUUCAUUGCUGGCUCUCUGGCCCUUGUGUUCACCUGAUCUGUUCUGCUUCUGAGAACACAGUUUCAGACAUCCCAUUCUCUGAGAUUGAUCCAGCUCAUAGGUGAGUUACCUCCGACACUCCGGUUCUUCAGCUUCACAGGGACCUUCAGUUCUGUUACCCGAGCCCUCUCCAUUUAACAGCCUCUGCCGUGCUGUGCGCGGUCACUCCAGUCGUGUCCGACUGUCUGCGGGACUGUGGAUCCUAUGCCCAGGCGCCUCAGUCCCUGGGAUUCUCCAGGCAGGAAUACUGGAGUGGGUUGCCAUGCCCUCCUCCAGGGGGUCUUCCUGACCCAAGGGCCGAACCCUCACCUCCAGCAUCUCCAGCAUCACAGGCGGAUUCUCCACCGCUGAACCGCUGGGUUAACAGCCUCUGCCCGUCUGUAUUUCCCUCCCUCUCCCAAUCAUGAUUGAUUCACAGCCCACCCCUCAGAUACCCAUCACCGCCAAUAUUCCCAGACCUUAGUGCUGCACCUCCGGCGGCACCUGUCUUGCCCACUAUGCAUGAAUGCAUCUGGCCAUUUUUUUUCUUGCUAGCUCAUAGGCUGCUGAGCCCCACAGGAGAAGAUAUGCCAAAGCACACAGACCAUCCUGGUUAUAAUGGUCAUCAGUCCCAGUGAAGCCCCUACCACUGCCUGACUAGCCUACUGUUUCCCUAGUCAUCCAUCUCCCAUUUUCAACAACUAUUUCAGAACUUCUUCACUGCCCUGACACCUCUGACCCACUCACCACCUCCUCAUUCUCUGCUGAUGACUGCCUCCUUCUUCAGAGAACAAACGGAAGUGAUCGGUUAGGAAUUCUCUCCACUUCUGGCCAACCAACCUACAAUCCUUGCUGCUCUCUGCACCGAUACUCUUUCUCCUAUUCCAGUAGAAGAGGCAACCCUCACGGGUCUAGAUCCCAUUCCUUCCAAUAUCCUGACACUUUCGUAUUUUCUGCUUUUAUCUGUUUUCCUGAUUCCCUUUCAUUAAAAAAAAAAAGGGGGGAGGGGCAUUUUCCAGUCUGUCUCAUCUUCAUAUCUCUUGGCUCAUAUCCCUCUCCAGUUACCAAACUCUUUCUCUUCUCCUUUUCAGUACCUUCUGAAAAAGUCUACCUUCCCUUCCUGAGCUACUCAUGGUAACACUCCCAGGACUUCGUGAUUGUGCUCAGGUGCUCAGCCGGGUCCGACUCUGCAGCCCUGUGGGUGUAGACCACCAGGCUCCUCUGUCCGUGGGAUUCUCCAAGCGAGGAUACUAAAGUGGGUUGCCAUUUCCUCCUCCAGGGGAUCUUCCCGACCCACGGAUGGAACCUGUGUCUCUUUCGCGUCCUACAUUGGGAGGUGGAUUCUUUACCACUGAGCCACCCGGGAAGCCCUUCCAGGAUCUUCCAUGGUGCUAAACCCAUUCUCUGUACAUUUUUCAAUCCUCAUCUUACUAGAUCUUUCAUCAGCUUUUGACAGGGUAGAUCUCUCGUUCUAAAAAAUAUGCCUUUCCUCAACUUUUUUUUUCCUUAGCACUCACUUGCUUUGUUUCCUCUCUAUCAGCGUGUUCUCACUUUUCUUUGCAAGAUUGUGUCGUCUGCUGUCCUCUCAGUUGUAGGUGGUCCACAGAGCUUUGUCCUAAGUCCUGUCUCUACAGACUCAUACCUGCAUAAGUUAUACUUGUAUAAAUUUAAAUUUAUAAUUUAUACCUGUAUAAAUUAUAAGUGUAUAAUUUAGUUCUUCCUCUUAGUUUUACCAUCAUCAAUUUGCUGAUAACUCUUAACUGUAGAUCUCUAGUGCAUAUUGCUCUCCUGAAUUUGAAACACAUGUAUCAGCUAUCAGCUGUCUGUAGCUCCAUGUAGCUACGUGUGUAACAGGUACAACAGGUACUUCAAACUCAAGACAAAAGUUAACUCAUCUCUUACAAACUUGCUCUUCUUCCAGUGUUCCUUACUCAAGAAACGGCCUUGCCGUCCACACAGUUGCUCAAAGGAGACGUAUGUCACUCUUGGCUUCUCUCUCUCACCCUCACUCAUCACAGCUGGUCAGUUACCAAGCCCUAUCAAUUACAUCCUCUUAAAAUGGCAUUCAAACGAGCCCACUUCUCUCCAUCCAGUGGCCUCCUUGCUCUUACCUGGGCUACUGUAUCUACCCCCAGUUAACUGGUCUCCCUAACCCCUAGUAGUUAGUUCCUCUUUUCCCCACUGGUGUUCCUCUCCUCCAGUGCAUUUCCUCCACAGCAGCCAGAAUUAUCUUCCAAAGAGAAAUUACAUCGUUUCUGCUUAAACCCCUUCAGUUGCUUUGCGUUGCUUUUGGGGUAAGCCGUGGCUCCUGCCUUCAUCUCCAGCCGCACCUUGAAUUCCCCUCUUCCCCUGCUGUGUUCUCUCGGUUCCCUUACUUCCACUGUCUGGAUCCUCCUCCAUCAUCUGCCAAGGUAACUCACACGCCUUCCUUUGGUUUCAGAUUAAACAUUUCCCGCGGGAGGUUCGGAGUCCCUGUUCUGUUUACAUGGUGCCCUGAGCUGCCCUUUUCAUAAAGUCAGCAGAUUUUGUCACAGUUACUAGAUUUAUUACCUAUUUUUUUCUGGAUUGUAGGAACUGUGUUUCUCCUUGUUUUCCUGUUGUCCGUCACUGUAACUGGACAUGGUAAGUUCCAAUUAAAUGUUGAAAGGAGAAAGGGAAAGAGAAGAAAGACUAUAAAAGGCAGUAUCGUACAAAAUUUGCAUACAUUUUAAGGGUAAAACAAGACUGCAAAUAAAUUUUUCUUUUCUGUCAUACAAAUAUGGUUUGCAUUAACCUUAAGAUACAAGUUAUUAAUACAUGUCAGCUUUCUUUCCCCACUUUAGUGGAAAGAUAUAUUUUGAACAUUUUGUCUGCAGCAUUCCAUUAAAUGGAUAGAGCUAGAUAUUUACUUAGACCAGUGAUUUUCAGCCUGGAAAUCUCUUGGUGGGGUUUUAAAAAUUUUGUUUCCUGAGUCCCACCCUCACAGAUUUUCAUUUAAUCUGCCUGAGAUUUUUCGAAGCUCUCUAUAUGAUUCUGAUACAUAGCAAAAGUCAAGAACACGACAGUUACUGGAGCUUUUGUUUUUGUGACUUGCUUCACUGACUGAUUUUGGAGCCUGUUGGAAAAUAAGAACUGAAAGCAAUGCAGAUUCAGCAGCACCCUGAUCCACCCACAAGCGCUUUCACCUACAACCACAAACGGCUGAAGUAGCGAAAAGAACUCCUUGGUCAAGUCCAAAGGUGGUGCUGUGUGUUGUGAGCUGAGUCACUCAGUCGUGUCCAGCUCUUUGCAACCCCCAAACUGUAGCCAAGCUCCUCUGUCCAUAGAACUUUCCAGGCAAGAAUACUGGAGUGGAUUGCCAUUUCCUCCUCCAGGGAAUCAUCCUAACCCAGAAAUCGAACCUGUUCACAUGCAUUGCAGGCAAACUCUUUACCAGCUCAGCCCCCGGGGAAGCCCCAGAGGCAGUGCUGGUCUCAGGCGCCUUUGGUCCAGUGACCCGGUGACCCCAGUCACUCCACAUCUUUCUGUUUCUCUUCCCAGCCUUGGUGUGGACUCGCUCCCAGUGUGGGCCUUCGUCGUGGCGGAAGACGGCUGCUGAAGCCACCAGGAGAGGGAGGGCAUCUCUGUCCCAGUGUUGUCAUUAGAAAAAGUCCUCAGGGUCACACUGACCGGCCUGGUUCAAGUUACAGACCAGUCGCUGUGUGCGAGGGGUGGGAAUGUGCCCGCGCAAGAGUGUCGUCCUCUCCCCAGGAGUCACAGGCAUCCCCGAGUGAGCAGAGGGUCCUUUGAGGAGGAGGAGGGGAGAACAGUCAGCGCCGAGAGCAUCAGACAUCGGCUGUCACACGCAGAGGUGUGGCCCGGCUGCAGAAUUCGGUCACAACACGGCAGUAGUCCCCUACAGUAUCGUGUGCUAAUUGUGAGUAGCACAGAUACAUUUUCACAGCAGUUCCCACAGUUAGGACUUCCCUGGUGGUAGAGUGGAUAAGAAUCUGCCUACCAGUUGCAGGGGCGACGGGUUCGAUCCCUGGUGCGGGAAGAUCCCACAUGCCGUGAAGCAACUAAGGCCGUGUGCCCCAGCUGCUGAAACCCGCAUGCCUAAAGCCUAAGCUCUGCAACAGGCGAAGCCACUGCGAUGAGAAGCCCGUGCACUGCGGCUGGAGAGCAGCCCCUGCUCCCUGCAACUAGAGAGCGCGCGUGCAGCAGUGAAGACCCAGCGCACCCCGCACCAGAGAGAUUCCCACAGUUCGCCCCUGAUAGAAAACUAAGGUUGUAUUUAUCACAGAACUCUUCAGUGAAAAAAACCCUGAGAACAGAAAAUUUGAUUUGGGCCCUGCAAAUGUAAGUUUCCUCGUGUCUGGCUUUUUCUUGGUGCCUCAGUGAGCAUGUUUUCUUCCCUCAUUUUGAAAAAGCAAAAAAUGAGACCCUCCAGAGAGUCUGACAUGCGGAUUGCCACCCUCCAAUCUGAGUGGCACUAGCCAAGAAGAUCCCGUUGAGCUUUGCAUUUUGUAAUUACCAUUAUGAAAGCAAUAGGGUUUAAGUUUCCCCCCUGAAAUGUACUAUUGGAUUAUAAUAUUAGUUAUGCCAUUUCUAAUGACACAUGCUAAAAAGAAAGAAAGAAAGAAAGAAAAAUUCACCACACGCAAAAAUUUCCCUAAAAGCCUCUUUCCCUUUACCUACCCCCCCACCCCCCAGGGGAUGUUAACUCUCCCUGGUUGAAAAUUCACUGUUCUACAACUGGUUCUUACCAAACACCUUUCUGAUUAUAACUGACUUUGCAUAAGAAAAUUUCCCGUAAUAGAAAAUGUGCUAACCAGGAAACAUGGAUUUGGGGUCUGCUUAGAGUUAUGUUUCCUACUGCAAGUUAAUUUAUUGGCAUUCACCAACCCUUAGAGUCUCAUUGUGUCUACGUGUGCUGAUUUUAAGUUUCUGAGUUUAUAAAAUGGAGGACCACAUUCCAGAGCAAGGCCCAUGCCUUAAAGUUAGUACUAAGACCAGAGAUGUCACCCUGUCCUGGUGGCCAGCUGUUCUUUCAAGCCGCCCUCACCAGGUUCCGUUCAAAUUGCACCAAUAAAAUGCAUUUUUUAAAUAAGUGGCGUAAAACAGCACAGGUGGAAUUUCUUUUGUUGUUUUUGCUGCUGUUGUUUGGUCGCUAAGUCGUGUCCGACUCCUUUGUGGCCCCAUAGACUGGAGCCCGCCAGGUUCCCCUGUCC